AGCGAACGCUGGCGGCAGGCCUAACACAUGCAAGUCGAACGAACUCUUCGGAGUUAGUGGCGGACGGGUGAGUAACACGUGGGAACGUGCCUUUUGGUUCGGAAUAACUCAGGGAAACUUGUGCUAAUACCGAAUGUGCCCUUCGGGGGAAAGAUUUAUCGCCAUUAGAGCGGCCCGCGUCUGAUUAGCUAGUUGGUGAGGUAACGGCUCACUAAGGCGACGAUCAGUAGCUGGGUUGAGAGGAUGACCAGCCACACUGGGACUGAGACACGGCCCAGACUCCUACGGGAGGCAGCAGUGGGGAAUCUUGCGCAAUGGGCGAAAGCCUGACGCAGCCAUGCCGCGUGAAUGAUGAAGGUCUUAGGAUUGUAAAAUUCUUUCACCGGGGACGAUAAUGACGGUACCCGGAGAAGAAGCCCCGGCUAACUUCGUG
rnacentral:rRNA from 1 species